UGAGGAAUAUUGGUCAAUGGACGAGAGUCUGAACCAGCCAAGUAGCGUGCAGGAUGACGGCCCUAUGGGUUGUAAACUGCUUUUGUAUGGGGAUAAAGUCAAUCACGUGUGAUUGUUUGCAGGUACCAUACGAAUAAGGACCGGCUAAUUCCGUGCCAGCAGCCGCGGUAAUACGGAAGGUCCGGGCGUUAUCCGGAUUUAUUGGGUUUAAAGGGAGCGUAGGCUGGAGAUUAAGUGUGUUGUGAAAUGUAGACGCUCAACGUCUGAAUUGCAGCGCAUACUGGUUUCCUUGAGUACGCACAACGUUGGCGGAAUUCGUCGUGUAGCGGUGAAAUGCUUAGAUAUGACGAAGAACUCCGAUUGCGAAGGCAGCUGACGGGAGCGCAACUGACGCUUAAGCUCGAAGGUGCGGGUAUCGAACAGGAUUAGAUACCCUGGUAGUCCGCACAGUAAACGAUGGAUGCCCGCUGUUGGUACCUGGUAUCAGCGGCUAAGCGAAAGCAUUAAGCAUCCCACCUGGGGAGUACGCCGGCACGGU
rnacentral:rRNA from 1 species